AUUGAACGCUGGCGGCAGGCCUAACACAUGCAAGUCGAGCGGAUGAAGGGAGCUUGCUCCUGGAUUCAGCGGCGGACAGGUGAGUAAUGCCUAGGAAUCUGCCUGGUAGUGGGGGAUAACGUCCGGAAACGGGCGCUAAUACCGCAUACGUCCUGAGGGAGAAAGUGGGGGAUCUUCGGACCUCACGCUAUCAGAUGAGCCUAGGUCGGAUUAGCUAGUUGGUGGGGUAAAGGCCUACCAAGGCGACGAUCCGUAACUGGUCUGAGAGGAUGAUCAGUCACACUGGAACUGAGACACGGUCCAGACUCCUACGGGAGGCAGCAGUGGGGAAUAUUGGGCAAUGGGCGAAAGCCUGAUCCAGCCAUGCCGCGUGUGUGAAGAAGGUCUUCGGAUUGUAAAGCACUUUAAGUUGGGAGGAAGGGCAGUAAGUUAAUACCUUGCUGUUUUGACGUUACCAACAGAAUAAGCACCGGCUAACUUCGUG
rnacentral:rRNA from 1 species